AAGAGUAUAGUUUAAAGGUAAAAUUGGAAGCUUCAAACUUCAAGAUCUCAGUUCAAUUCUGAGUGCUCUUG
rfam:Coccidioides immitis H538.4 cont1.4342 mitochondrial, whole genome shotgun sequence.